UACGUAGGGUGCGAGCGUUAAUCGGAAUUACUGGGCGUAAAGCGUGCGCAGGCGGUUGUGCAAGACAGAUGUGAAAUCCCCGGGCUUAACCUGGGAACUGCAUUUGUGACUGCACGGCUAGAGUGUGUCAGAGGGGGGGUAGAAUUCCACGUGUAGCAGUGAAAUGCGUAGAUAUGUGGAGGAAUACCGAUGGCGAAGGCAGCCCCCCUGGGAUAACACUGACGCUCAUGCACGAAAGCGUGGGUAGCAAACGGG
rnacentral:rRNA from 1 species